rnacentral:tRNA from 1 species
GCAGAAAUACCCAAGCGGUGAAGGGGCUCCCCUGCUAAGGGAGUAGGUCUGGUAACGGACGCGAGGGUUCAAUUCCCUCUUUCUGCGCCA